AUGAUUCACCAGGGGUGCUUUGGUUUCUACCAAAGCUGAGAAAGACCCUUAUAACCUGCACUGGGUAAUGCCUGCGGAGGGAGAGUGAGAUUGAUAAAAC
rnacentral:ncRNA from 1 species